rnacentral:rRNA from 1 species
AUUGAACGCUGGCGGCAGGCCUAACACAUGCAAGUCGAACGGUAACAGGAAGAAGCUUGCUUCUUUGCUGACGAGUGGCGGACGGGUGAGUAAUGUCUGGGAAACUGCCUGAUGGAGGGGGAUAACUACUAGAAACGGUAGCUAAUACCGCAUAACGUCGCAAGACCAAAAAGGGGGACCUUCGGGCCUCUUGCCAUCGGAUGUGCCCAGAUGGGAUUAGCUAGUAGGUGGGGUAACGGCUCACCUAGGCGACGAUCCCUAGCUGGUCUGAGAGGAUGACCAGCCACACUGGAACUGAGACACGGUCCAGACUCCUACGGGAGGCAGCAGUGGGGAAUAUUGCACAAAGGGCGCAAGCCUGAUGCAGCCAUGCCGCGUGUAUGAAGAAGGCCUUCGGGUUGUAAAGUACUUUCAGCGGGGAGGAAGGGAGUAAAGUUAAUACCUUUGCUCAUUGACGUUACCCGCAGAAGAAGCACCGGCUAACUCCGUG